GCCCGGGACCCUCAGGCCUGGGCCUGCUCCGUGUUCUCCUCUCCCGAGGAGUGUGCUGGGCAGGAAAAGCCCUUCUCAGGCCAAACCCGGCUGUUAUUUCCAGCAAAGCCAUUGGCACAGGGCUCGUGUGGGCCUGAGCCCCCGCGCUGGUUCUGUACUAGGUCGGUGCAAGCGGCUGGGUGCAGCCGGGGAGCGUUGAAAUUCACUGUGAAUCUGUUUAUGGAGCGUUGUCACUUGAGAUAUACGAUGCCUUGCCUGCUUUUCGUGCUUAAAUGUUGAUUUGAGUAACAGCCGGCAACUUGUGCCAAAGGCGAAACCCAUUUGAAGCACAUACCAGUCUUCCCUGUGCAGGCGUUUAAUAUGCAAACGGAUAAAACCCAAACCUAACAAUUACACAAAGGGAAUUCACAUAAUCAUAAAACAACAACGUGCUUUAAUCUUUUAAAUCUGAAACAAAACAGCGGGUAAUUGAAGAAUGGAUAUUAGCAAUUAGAAAGCGGAACUAAAUGCUGAAAAUUGCGCAGUGGAAAGGGGAGUUCAUGAAGCAGAUUGCUCCCAUCAUCCAGCUGCUUUGUUGGAACUGCUUUAUUUAGGGUAUAUAGUUUGGUUUACCUUAAUAAUAAUUAAUUCGUAAUAGAUUGUAAAAAGCCUCAAGAUCUGUGGAAAAGUAAACAUUACUGUGGCUUCCUUGAAGAAGAGAGCCAAAAUUAUCUACAUUUAUAGGGGAGCUGAGGCCUAGAGGAGACACAACUCGUCCCCUGAGCCAAUGGCCAAGCGAGAGAAAGCUUCUGACCUUGAUAUAUUACCUUAAAGUGCAGGAAAUCACCCAAAAGCCCGAUUUUCCCCUGCCUGGGACGAAGUUGGGGGUUACCCCUGGCUCUGCCUCGUGUGCAGGCCCAUGCCCGCUGUGAGACGAGGCUCAGCUGCUCUGCUGCCAGCCCGGGGCCUCCUGCAGCUCCUGCCUGUAAUUCAACCUUCCCAGCUAAGAUGUCUCCAUUGGCAGCUCGUAUUUAUAGGCAGGCGAGUUGUCUCGGUGCCGUUCUGAAGAGUUAAGGAGGCUUUUUGCUCAUAAGCAAAUUCCGUUCCCUCUCAGAUUGUCACCCGCAAUCUCGUGCCGAUAAAAAAGCACAUUAUUUUUUUUUCAGAUUAUUCAGAUUGCCCCCGCGGUGCUUGUUGUGAGUUACUGCAGUAGUGCUGGGCUCGUGCUGCACAAAUUCCAUUUUUCCAUAUCAGCCUUCCUCCUUCCAAACCCUCCUCAGAGCCGGGGGGGCAGCAGGCUCUGAGCGCCCCAAAAACCUUCUCAGGACCCCCCCAGCUGUGAUGUGGGCCUGGCAAAUGGGUUCCUGCUCGGUCCCAGGCUCUAAAACCAUCGUGGAGUCCCUCUCCUCCUCGCUGGCUGAUGAAUGAGGGGAGCACAGAGGUCAGCAGCACCUUCCAUGUGGAGCUUUAUUCCACGGGAGAAGAAAGGCAGGAGGGCUGAGGCCUUUUCAGGAGCUGCUUUAUGGCAAAGUAAUUAUAUUCUCUUUUUGUUUGUGUCAGGAAAGGGGGGGGAGAAGCCUUGAAAUGUCUCAUCUGGGAAACCGUUAAUAGAAUUUAUGCUAAUUUGAUGAUUCCGGCGAUUACUGGCGGAAGCACUUCACAUUCCCAGGCAGCAGAAAUUCUCCUCCAGCUCCUCCCUCAGCCUCGCUGGGUUGGUCUUCAGCCCGUUCUCCUCCUGCAGCCACCCCAGACCCUUCUUGGGGCAGGUCUGGCUGACCCCAGAGUGUGACCCCGGGAUGUGAUCCCGGGAUGUGACCCCGGGAUGUCACCAGGAUGUCACCAGGAUGUCACCAGGAUGUGACCAGGAUUGGUGCCAAUCCCAGUGGCAUCCCUGGUGACCCCGUUCCUCCAUCUUUUGGGGAAAAUGGAAGGAAACCUGCCCCAGUGCCUCACAGGGGUGAAGAUCACUUGGAUGGGAUGAGCCCAACCCGCCGUGAACGGUGCAUUAAUGUCAGCAGAGAAGCCACGGCCUUAUCCUGAACUCCUUAAAAAACAAAGGGAGUCUCUAUUGCCUUCAUCUGGCUUUUAAUGAAUGACCUCUUGUCGCCGGGAGCUGCGUGCGGUGACAAAGGACCUUUGUGGGCCGAUAUUUAUGAUUUCAUUUAAGCCAGGGAGCAAGCUAAGGGAGAGGGCUGGAAAAUAAGAGCUGAGCUGAUGGUUCUGUCUUUAAACUCAAGGGAUCUUUAUCUAGUUUUUGUAUUAAUACAGUUGUCAUCUCUUAAAUAUUUGAGCGACUCACAGCCGUGAAUGCUGGGAGGGACUCGCUGACUCCGGCUCUCCCAAGCCCACACCCUCCUCUGGACCUGAAUGUGGGGAGGAGGGAAGGGUUUGCAUUUUCUUAGUGCCCCCCAAACCUUACCCACAGAUGAAGCCUGCUGUGAGUGCCCACAACCUGCUCACGGGGGGCCCCGGGCUCCAACGCCCCUCCCCACGCCAGCGACUUGCCAACACUGAUAAAUUUUUGCCUUUUCCUUGGGCAGGCCUUGGUGGAGGAUUAAACAGCUGGGAGUCGGGAGUGAGAGCGUGUCCCCUCUCCUUUGCCAUGCAAACAGAGAAAAUUAAUCUUGCAGCUUCCUCUGAUAUUUGGGCUGAAUUACAAGCUGGGAGCGGAGAUAAAGCGCGGGCGAAGGAAGGCACAGAUGACAUUUCUCAUGGAUUUAGAAACGAUAGUGAUCAAGCCAUGUUGUCAGAGCCACUGCCAAACUGCGGAGUCCAGAGACCUGGAAGCUAAAUAGCACCUGAAGCUGCCUGGGACAGCUGCUCUUGCAGCAGGAAUAACAGACUUAUGUGCCACAUUGAGCUCAAAGACAUCUAGACCUCAGCAGCACUCGUCUCUUCUUUAAUUUGAGCUUCUCAUGAGACAACACUCAGGAUGCGGAUGCAGAGGGGGAAUAUCAGCUCUACCAUGCCACCAGCCAGAUCUACACUCAGGUUGCUUUGAGACCUUCCCUCCUGUUUCUCCCUCUCCACCCCAAUCAAUGGCCUCUGCCUGUGCCCUCGCCUCCAGCAGCCCUGAAAUUUGAGGCUUGGGCAGGAGCUGCAGCAUCAGGGCUGUGUCUGCAGGGUCCUGCAGAGACCAGCAGCGCUGGGCACGACCCCCUCCCCUGAGCAGCUCCAUCGGUGCAGCAUCUCCCUAAGGUGUUUGUGCACCCCAACAGCAGCUUUCAGCCCCUCGAGGGUUCCUGAGCUGGGGGAGGCAGCUCCAGCAAAGCCAGAUGGGGCAGUACACAGCAGAGCUCCAGUGACACGGCCCAGCAGCAGCCCC